GGAUGUGAGGGCACGUGGGCUAAUGACAUCUGUCACCCCACAGAUCUCCAGGGUUGAUUUGGCUGGUCUGGCUGGCUAGGCAGGUGUCCCCUUUCUUCCUCACCUUUCCAUGUGCAUCCCUCCUGAAGCUGCGAGCUGGGUGAAGAGGACAACCUUCCCCAAUAGAGGAGGGCCGUUCUUGGGUCAAGGGUAUACGGGUGGCUCCCCUGCUAGAGCCUCCAAACAAGCUCUCAAGGUCCAUUUGUAGGAGAACAUAGGGGAGUCAAGCUUUUGAGACCAAAUGAGGUGCUGCAUGUUACAGUCUGCCUUCA
ensembl:misc_RNA 7SK 7SK RNA